CAGGGAGAGGGAGGAGACGGCGGCGGUGGGUCUGGAAGUGAGAUGAUUAUCGGACCACCAGGACCGCCUGGACCCGUCGGCCCGCAGGGCAUCCAGGGUCCGCCGGGAAUCAAGGGAGACGGAGGAGCCGACGGACUAUCCGGAAGACCGG